ACACCUGGCUAGUAGGUACCUUACCCCCUCCUCUACCCCUACCAGCUACCACACCUGGCUAGUAGGUACCUUACCCCCUCCUCUACCCCUACCAGCUACCAGACCUGGCUAGUAGGUACCUUUCCCCCUCCUCUACUCCUACCAGCUACCACACCUGUCUAGUAGGUACCUUACCCCCUCCUCUACUCCUACCAGCUACCACACCUGUCUAGUAGGUACCUUACCCCCUCCUCUACCCCUACCAGCUACCAGACCUGGCUAGUAGGUACCUUACCCCUCCUCUACCCCUACCACACCUGUCUAGUAGGUACCUUACCCCCUCCUCUACCCCUACCAGCUACCACACCUGGCUAGUAGGUACCUUACCCCCUCCUCUACCCCUACCAGCUACCACACCUGGCUAGUAGGUACCUUACCCCCUCCUCUACCCCUACCAGCUACCAGACCUGGCUAGUAGGUACCUUACCCCUCCUCUACCCCUACCAGCUACCAGACAUGACUAGUAGGUACCUUACCCCCUCCUCUACCCCUACCCCUACCACACCUAACUAGUAGGUACCUUACCCCUCCUCUACCCCUACCAGCUACCACACCUGGCUCGUAGGUACCUUACCCCGCCUCUACCCCUACCACACCUGUCUAGUCGGUACCUUACC